UUAUUAAGUCUCCUCAGAGCUGCCCGAACUCAGCUUCUCGUCAGACUCCGAGGAUGGGGGUCACGGCGCCCCGAACCCUCCUCCGGCUGCUGUCGGCGGCCCUGGUCCUGACCGAGAGCUGGGCGGGCUCCCACUCCAUGAGGUAUUUCCACACCGCCGUGUCCCGGCCCGGCCGCGGAGAGCCCCGGUACAUCGAAGUCGGCUACGUGGACGACACGCAGUUCGUGCGGUUCGACAGCGACGCGGAGAAUCCGAGGAUGGAGCCGCGGGCGCCGUGGAUAGAGCGGGAGGGGCCGGAGUAUUGGGAGCGGGAGACCCGGAGCGCCAAGGGUAACGCACAGACUUUCCGAGUGAACCUGAGGACCGCCCUCCGCUACUACAACCAGAGCGAGGACGGUGAGUGACCCCGGGCCGGUCAGAGGUCACGACCCCUCCCGCCCCACAUACAACCGCGGGUCGCCGGAUUUGCAGGGUCCGAGGGUCACCCCGAGGCUGCGGGACCCCUGAGACCUUCGACCCGGAAAGACUACAUCGCCCUGAACGAGGACCUGCGCUCCUGGACCGCGGCGGACACGGCGGCUCAGAUCACCCAGCGCAAGUGGGAGGCGGAGGGUGUGGCGGAGGGAGACAGGGCCUACCUGGAGGGCACGUGCGUGGAGUGGCUCCGCAGGUACCUGGAGAACGGGAAGGACACGCUGCAGCGCGCGGAUCCCCCAGAGGCACAUGUGACCCAUCACUCCACCUCUGACCGUGAAGCCACCCUGAGGUGCUGGGCCCAGGGCUUCUACCCUGCAGAGAUCACACUGACCUGGCAGCGGGAUGGGGAGGAUCAGACUCAGGACAUGGAGCUUAUAGAGACCAGGCCUGCAGGAGAUGGAACGUUCCAGAAGUGGGCAGCUGUGGUGGUGCCUUCUGGAGAAGAGCAGAAAUAUACGUGCCAUGUGCAGCAUGAGGGGCUGCCGGAGCCCCUCUCCCUGAGAUGGGAGCCAUCUUCCCAGCCCUACAUCCUCAUGGUGGGCAUUGUUGCUGGCCUGAUUCUCCUUCUAACUGUGCUGAUUGGAGCUGUGGUUGUGAUGCGGAGGAGGAAGAGCUCAGGUGGAAAAGGAGGGAGCUACACUCAGGCUGCAAUUAGUGACAGUGCCCAGGGAUCAGAUGUGUCUCUAACAGCUUGUAAAGCCUUUGUGACUUCAAGAGCCUCUGACUUCUGCAAAUGCUUCUGAAUGAUUCUGUAUCCCUGUUUGUCUAAUGUGAGGAGGUGGUGAAGGCAGCCUUCUCCUCUGUCCAUGGUGACCCUUUCUCCCACACUGACCUGUGUCCCUUCCUGAUUAUCUUUCCUGUUGCAGAAAGGUGGGGGUGGGACGUCUCCAUCCCUGUGUCAACUUCAUGGUGCAUUAAGUUGCUUCCCUAUUGAAAAUAAGAAUUUAAAUAUAAAUUUGUUUUUUCAAAUUCUUCCUAUGAGAGAGACAAGCAGGGAAAUAAAAUGAAGACCUGAGAACCUUC